rnacentral:lncRNA from 1 species
AUUGAAUGUAAGUUAUCAUCUCAACUAUUGAUUGACUUCUCUAACUUAGAUUUGUAAAAUGUAUUUUUACAUAUGUCAUAGAAAAGUAUAGCUCCUUACCAAAAUCUGUUUUUCCUUUUUUUUUUUUUUUUCUGCUGGGAAUCUGACAGACACAGAUAUUGAAAAGAGGACGUGGGUAGACAAUGUCCUUCACUCAAUGUUGACAGAGAAACACAGAAACCAACAACCAUGGGAAACUGAAGGAAAGGAUAGCUCCACUUUGUCUCUGAUCCCCUUUCAGUUCCCCAAGCAGAGGAGUCAGGACUUGAGAAGAGACAGAAAUGAUGUCUAAUGCAAAGACAGACUCCCACCCCUGAAUUGAGAGAGACGAAGAGAAUAAAGGCAUCAGAAGAGACCUAUGCACAAACGUUUAUCAGGACAUACCCCAUCAUAAGUCAAGGAGCAUCUAUACUACACAGGAGGGGAAAAAAAAAACAAAUGGAUACUACCUGCAAUCGUAUGGCUCAAAGUUUCAGACUUUAUGUUGAGUAAAUGAAGCCAGGUUAAAAAGAGUACCUACUCUACAAUUCCGUUUAUAUGAAGUUCAAAAACAGGUAAAGCUAAUUGAUUAUAACAAAAUCUAGAGUCUUAGUUUCCUUGAAGUUACUGGGUUUUGACUGAGAAGGGGCAUGAAGGAAAUUUCUGGCUGUUGGAAAUGUUGCAUAUCAAUCUAAGUGACAGUUACUUGGAUAUGUGUGUAAAAGUUCCUUGAGCUGACACUAAAGAAUCAUGUGCUUUAUUCACUUUAUUAUGCAUAUGCUAAAAGUCAAUAUUCAAAUUUGGUUUAAAAUCUGCUCUGAAUCAUUUGACCACAAACACAUUGACUAAUAUGCCACAUCAUAAAAUACCACAGUGAAACAUCACAACAAUACAUCUAAAUAUGCCACCAUCCUGACACUCUUCUUAAAGUUAUUCAUCCUGGAUAUGCAGUGACCUUUAUGUUUUUAAGGUGGUAUAUUUUAAAAGAACAUGAAUUUUAAAUUGUUUAUUCAGUUUCAGUAACAGAUAUGCUCAGACUUGUCUAUGUUCUGAGAUUUAGCUGCUGUGUUAUCAGCAGCAUGUAUUUAUCAAUAAACCAGGUAUAGAGAUGCAAUAACAUGUACAAUAUAUACCCACUAGUAAUCAUAUCAGCCAGCAAUAAUGUAACCUUAUGCAACAAAUAGAUUAUUUUAAGUGGGGUAAAAUUAAUUUUUAUAAAUGGAAGUGUACUAAAACUGCAUUUUCAAGAUUUGUUUUUGCUAAUUUCUCCAACCAAAUCAGCAAAACAAAUCAUUAAUUAGCUGAAGACACUUAAAUAUAAUGUUUCUUAAAAUAUUUCUUUAACAAAAUGUAGUGUCUGUUUUAUAAGUUUCUCCCUCCUCUUCAAUUCGCUUAAAACUACACCAUAGGUCAACAAAAGAAAAACACAAGUUUGGUAUCUUUUGUUUUGUCUUUUCUCUUUCUUUUACUUUUUUUAAGAUGAGGUCUCGCUCUGUCACCUUGGCUGGAGUGCAGUGGUGCGAUCAUGGCUCACUGCAGUCUUGACCUCCCAGGAUAAAGCUAUCCUCCCACAUUAGUCUCCCCA